UUGCUUGCUUGGCAGUGCAUAUAUUAAAAUUGCAACGAUACACAAAGGUUAGCACAGCCCCUGUGCAAAAUUGUGAAGUGUUCCAUAUUUUU
rnacentral:snRNA from 1 species